GAGCAAAGAGGGAGAGAGAGGAGGGAAGGCUGCUGCAGGUUUAGUGUAGCAACUAGCCAGCACACACACAGAGCAAAGAGGGAGAGAGAGGAGGGAAGGCUGCUGCAGGUUUAGUGUAGCAACUAGCCAGCACACACACAGAGCAAAGAGGGAGAGAGAGGAGGGAAGGCUGCUGCAGGUUUAGUGUAGCAACUAGCCAGCACACACACACAGCAAAGAGGGAGAGAGGGGAGGGAAGGCUGCUGCAGGUUUAGUGUAGCAACUAGCCAGCACACACACAGAGCAAAGAGGGAGAGAGAGGAGGGAAGGCUGC
ensembl:lncRNA